CCAUUCAUAAUUUUCAUCUGAUCGAUACCGUCCCAAUCCCUAGCGGGCAUCCGAGAUGGAGAUCCGCCGUCUGGCUCGUCAAGAACCCUCGCCGGAGGAUCCGAAUGGUCGCUGAUCUCGCCAAACGCGCCCGAGCCGAACGCAAACGCCAAAAUCGCCCGAGCCGAACGCGAUCCGCCGUCUGCCUUGUACUUUAUUGAUGCGGCUAGGCAGAUUGAUCAACCAAGCAUUUCAGACGAGAUGUGCAGUGACAAAAAAACCAAAAAAACUGAGAUCGGUCACAAAAUGUCCGGGAUGCAGAGCCAGAGCCGCUGCUGCCCUCUGCCGGAGAGCCGGAAAUCACCAUCGCGAACCGGACGCAGAUCGACGGCCAAAACAGUUCAACCGCCCAAGAAUCCAACAAAUUCUCAUGCAGUCACAUUUGGUCAAUAUUACUUCAAAAAUCAAAGCACUUGCCAGGUCUGGCCAGAUCGAAUACGCUCGGAAGGUAUUUGAUGAAAUGGUGCUGAGAGAUGUAGUAGCUUGGAACUCAAUGCUCAGCAGCUAUUCCCAAUUGGGUCUCCACCAAGAAGCUCUCUCUUUGUUCCAGAGCUUGAGGACCGGUGUUGUUAGGCCAGAUCACUUCACAUUUACAUCAACCCUUAGUGCAUGUGCAUCCUCAUGUGAGCUUAAAUACGGGCAUAAAAUCCAUGCACUUGUGAUUGUUUCAGGUUAUAACGCAUAUUUGUCAGUGAAUAAUUCACUAAUUGAUAUGUAUGGAAAAUGUUUCAGCCAUUUUGAUGCAAACAAAGUGUUUGAAGAGAUGGAAGUCACGAAUGAAGUGUCAUGGUGUUCAUUAUUGUUUGCAUAUGUUAAUGUGAAUAAGUUAGAUGUAGCAGCCAAUUUCUUCAAUGCAAUGCCAAAGAAAGGGGUGAUUGCAUUUAAUACUAUGAUUGCUGGACAUGCUAGACAGGGUGAAGCUAAGUUGUCAGUGGGCUUGUUUAAGGAUAUGUUGGAUGAGCUAUGCACUCCAGACCAAUGGACUUUGAGUGCUCUCAUGAAUGCUUGUGCUGAAUCAAGACAAAAAUUUCUCGGUUUUAUGCUACAUGGUUAUAUUCUGAAAAGUGGUUGGAGUUCUGCAAGUGAGGCAAACAAUUCUAUUCUUAGUUUCUAUGCUAGUGUGAAUUGCCAUAAUGAUGUUCUGAAGAUGGUUCACAGCAUUGAUGUUCUCAACCAAGUGUCUUGGAAUGCUAUAAUUGAUGCUCACAUGAAAGUAGGCAACAUAGAUGAAGCAUUUACUGUAUUCGCCCAGUCACCUGAGAAGAAUCUUGUUUCAUGGACAUCUAUGAUUGCAGGAUUUGCUAGAAAUGGCCAUGGAGAACAUGCAAUAUAUUUCUUUGUAGAUAUGACAAGAAAUGAUAUCAAGCCAGAUGAGUUUACAUUUGGAGCUGUCUUGCAUGCUUGUUCUACCUUAGCUGUGCUAGGUCAUGGUAAAAUGAUCCAUGCUUGUGGAUUUAAGAGUGGCUUAUUUACCCAUACAUAUGUUGGAAAUGGCUUGGUUAAUAUGUAUGCUAAAUGUGGGGAGAUAAGAGAUUCACAAGCUGCAUUUUGUGACAUUUAUUUGAAGGAUUUGAUCUCAUGGAACACCAUGUUGUUUUCAUAUGGGCUACAUGGAUGGUCAAAGCAAGUUGUUCAGCUUCUUGAGGAAAUGCUGACAUGUGGGGUAAAUCCAGAUAAAGUAACAUUUAUAGGAUUGUUUAUGAGUUGUAGCCACUCAGGGCUUGUAGAUAAUGCUAGGGCUCUGUUUGAGUCAAUGAGUAGUGUUUACGGAAUUUCACCAGGAAUUGAUCAUGUGACUUGCCUGGUUGACAUAUUAGGUCGCAGUGGCCAUAUUGAAGAAGCAAGAAAGAUUGCUAGUGAGUACUUUGGAAAACAAAAUACAAUGCUACUACAAGAAGUCCUAUUUGGAGCUUGUUCUGCUCAAAACAACAUAGAAUUGGGAAAAGAAUUAGGAAAACUUUUUAAAAGUUUAGAUCCCCAGAAUGAGAUGAGCUAUAUCUUGUUGUCAAACCUCUAUUGUGCAAGUGGGCAGUGGAAAGAAGCAGAGAUGGUCAGGCAAGCAAUGGUGAGUGAAGGGGUUAAAAAGAUGCCUGGUUUUAGUUGGAUUGAAGUGGAUAAUCAAAUGACAAUUUUUGCAGCAGGAAGAGAGCCAAAUCCAUGGAUGGGAAAAUUGGAUGAGAUGAUUUCCAUUCUUGAUUCUGAGAUGAGAUUCCCACAUUAUUUUUCUCGUUUGGAUGGAAUUACCUAAGACGAUUUUUCAUUGUAUACACAUAUGAAGCUGCCAAUGGCAAUUGAUUUUUCAUCAAGGCAACUGGUGAUAUUUCAUGCUAUGAUAAUUAGGAUCAUAUUCUCAUUGGGUUUUUAAUCAAGAGGUACUACAUAAAGUGUAGAGGGGUUCUUUUUUCUUUGGUUUUUGGUAUCUCUUGAUGAAUCUAAGAAGAUGAGAAGAUAAGAUACCUGGCUGAUUUCCUCUUUGGGAAUAUCUUAAAAGUAAAACCCCUUGUUUUGCAAUAGUUUUGUGGAAGCUAUAUUUACGACUCAAUGGAAAGGAAGAUAACUAAUUUUUGUCACUGUUUACAAAAAAAAUGUACACGGAUUUGGCUUCGCGUUAUGGACCUAUGCAACACUGAAGGAAAGAAGAGGAGGAAGAUUUAUCUCUACCUAUGGUGGAAAUAAAGAGAAGCUUGAGGAAUAUGAACAGAUAGUUGGGGAGAAGUUGUAGGAAGAAAUUUCCUUUUGAUUUUAUUCAAUUUUCAACUUACCUUGACAAUUUAAUAUUCUCCUAGGAGUUAAAACUUAAAAGCUUAAGACAUGGAAAUAAUAUUCUAAAUUUUCAACUUA